rnacentral:rRNA from 1 species
CCUACGGGGGGCUGCAGUGGGGAAUUUUGGACAAUGGGCGCAAGCCUGAUCCAGCCAUGCCGCGUGAGUGAAGAAGGCCUUCGGGUUGUAAAGCUCUUUCGGCCGGAACGAAAUCGUCCGGGCUAAUACCUCGGAUGGAUGACGGUACUGGAAGAAGAAGCACCGGCUAACUACGUGCCAGCAGCCGCGGUAAUACGUAGGGAGCAGGCGUAAAUCGGAAUCACUGGGCUUAAUACGUGCGCUGUGAGCUCCCCGGGCUUAACCUGGGAACUGCGUUUGAAACUGGGAGGCUGGAGUGCGGCAGAGGGGGGUGGAAUUCCACGUGUAGCAGUGAAAUGCGUAGAUAUGUGGAGGAACACCGAUGGCGAAGGCAGCCCCCUGGGCCUGCACUGACGCUCAUGCACGAAAGCGUGGGGAGCAAACAGGAUUAGAUACCCCUGUAGUC